UAAACGACUCUCGGCAACGGAUAUCUCGGCUCUCGCAUCGA
rnacentral:rRNA from 1 species